UCGGAUUGUAGUCUGCAACCCGACUACAUGAAGCUGGAAUCGCUAGUAAUCGCGAAUCAGCAUGUCGCGGUGAAUACGUUCCCGGGUCUUGUACACACCGCCCGUCACACCAUGGGAGUUGGAAAUGCCCGAAGUCAGUGACCCAACCGAAAGGAGGGAGCUGCCGAAGGCAGGUUCGAUAACUGGGGUGAAGUCGUAACAAGGUAGC
rnacentral:rRNA from 1 species